rnacentral:misc_RNA from 1 species
UCUGCGUUUUGCGCAGCGGUCCCGCUAGAAAGAUGCAACUAGCGGCGAGGGUUGCGCUCGUUGCGGGACUUAACCCAACACCUCACGGCACGAGCUGACGACAGCCAUGCAGCACCUGUGCACGGGUCCCGAAGGAGGGCCGCAUCUCUGCGGCUUGCCCGUGCAUGUCAAACCCCGGUAAGGUUCUGCGCGUUGCAUCGAAUUAAACCACACGCUCCGCUGCUUGUGCGGGCCCCCGUCAAUUCCUUUGAGUUUCAGCCUUGCGGCCGUACUCCCCAGGCGGGAGACUUAACGCGUUAGCUCCGACACCGAAGGGCUCGAUCCCCCCGGCAUCUAGUCUCCAUCGUUUACGGCGUGGACUAC